rnacentral:pre_miRNA from 1 species
GAAGGAUCCAGACGAAAAUGAAGACGAAGAAGAUUGUCAGUUGGAUUUAAAUUUUGGUUCCAACUGACAAUUUUCUUCGUCUUCAUAUUCAAUUAUG